rnacentral:rRNA from 1 species
UACGUAGGCAGCGAGCGUUGUUCGGAAUUACUGGGCGUAAAGAGCGCGCAGGCGGUCGACCAAGUCGCGUGUGAAAGCCCCCGGCUCAACUGGGGAGGGUCACGCGAUACUGAUCGACUCGAAGGCAGGAGAGGGUAGUGGAAUUCCCGGUGUAGUGGUGAAAUGCGUAGAUAUCGGGAGGAACACCAGUGGCGAAGGCGACUACCUGGCCUGUUCUUGACGCUGAGGCGCGAAAGCUAGGGGAGCAAACGGG